ACCUCCACUUUUGCCUUCUGGUUC
rnacentral:siRNA from 1 species